GUUAAAAAUAACGAUUCGUUCGCGAACCGGACAUCACUACCAGUCAUUGCGAGGAUCAGCGUCCACAGAUCGAUUAAUUGUGAGGCACCCAAUAUUUCUCAGAGGCCUGUCUAUUACUUUUCGUCAUCUUUAUUUUCUGCCUUUUUAAUAUUUUCUUCAUCCCAACAUUUCACAUCACCAUACCAUGUCGAAGAGGGGAGGGGGGCUGAAGAAAACUUGCCCUGCAUGUAAAGAGAAGAUUUUUAAUGGAUUUAAAAUGUGCCCUAACUGCAAGGCCCCACAGCCUGAAAAUCUUAGAUUAUAAAAAAAAAAAUCGAAAAAUUUGAACAAAAAAAGGACAUAUGGGUAGCGAACAACAAAAGAAAUCAGGUGAUCU